AUUUGCACUUUAUAAUGCCAUUGGUAUUUUAUUAUUAUUUUAUUUUACUAUUAUUUAUUUAUAUAUUUAUUUUAUUAUUAUUUUAUUUUUAUUAUUAUUUUACUACUACAAGAGCCUGUUCAAGACACACCAAAAAAAAUGUAAAAACACCCUGAUUUUCAAGGGUAAAAAGCAAAAAAAAAAAAACGUUAAAACACCACCGGUUUUCAAGGAAAACGCCCUGAUUUUCAAGGGCAAACAGAAAAGCAAAAAAAAUCGUGGGUCCAUAGUGCACACAGCAAUUAUUUCAAGGAUUUUAUCUUGUUUUUAAAGGUAUAUUUAAAAAAUAAAUAUUUCAAGGGUUUUCAUAAUAUAUUUAAAAAAGCAAAUAUUUCAAGGAUUUCGGCCUACCAAUUCGGCCAAGAAAAUUCGGUGUAUACCCAAACGGAACCACUAAAAUCUGUUCAUUUUUGGUUAUUUAUUUUUAAUUGCUUCACAUUUUUUUAUUGUUCCAACGGAUAGAAAUUUUAUUCUAAGAAAUGAAAAGACAGAUACAUAAUUCAAAAUGUGAUAGUUCUAAUAGAUUGAAUUUAAUUAAGAUGUAUUGAAAUUCGAUACCUCAUUGUAUAAAAAAUAUCAAUUUAUUUGGAAACAAGGUAAUAAAAGAAUAAUAUAGCCCAAAUGAUUAAUCUCUCUAAUUUUUUUGAAACUGACGUGUGAUAAACCCACAUCUUCCUUUCAAACUCAUACGUAUUGAUAAAAUCAAUGUUGUUUAAACAAUUAUCAAGAACACCUUGUUUGUGUGAUAUUAUUUAUCCUUCACAAGAUAAUUUUUUUAACAAUUCAAAUUCUUCUUUAUCAAGAAUAACUUAAAAAAACUAGAUUUUUUUAUUUUCAAUUGAAUUGUAGAUAAUAUUCUCCUUUAAAUUUAGGGAUAUAAAUUUUCCAAGCAAACAAACAUUAAUAUAUAAUACUUUUACUUUAUUGUUUAUGAAAUUGACAAAAUUAUAACUUUAUCUUCCAUAAAGAAUUCGAUACCUCUGUAAUUGAGGGCUGCAUACGAGGCUCCUCUGCAGCCAUCUCAAAAUCCUGCACAUCGCAUGCACAAGAAGCCGGGGCAUAGCUUAUUGAUGCGAAGACUCUAUCAACACUAAUAUUUUUUUCGACCACACGCAUUCCAAAAAUCAUUUCAGUAAUAUGACGAAACAUUUUUUUUAACUCUUCGUCAUUAUCUGGAAAUGGAAUGAAGAUUUCCUCUCCACUUAAAUCGGGAGUCCUAUCCUUGAUUUUGUAAACCACCCUAUACACACA